UACAGAGGUCUCAAGCGUUGCUCGGAAUCACUGGGCGUAAAGGGCGCGUAGGCGGCUUAUCAAGUCGGGGGUGAAAGCCCGUGGCUCAACCACGGAAUGGCCUUCGAUACUGGUAGGCUUGAGACCGGAAGAGGACAGCGGAACUGCGAGUGUAGAGGUGAAAUUCGUAGAUAUUCGCAAGAACACCAGUGGCGAAGGCGGCUGUCUGGUCCGGUUCUGACGCUGAGGCGCGAAAGCGUGGGAGCAAACAGG
rnacentral:rRNA from 1 species